CUGCAUGGCUGUACCACCUUGUCGGG
rnacentral:piRNA from 1 species